rnacentral:misc_RNA from 1 species
GGGGGAUAUUGGAACUAUGUGACAGAAACGCUGAAUCAAGCUCCCACCCAGCUUGAAUAUAACGUCUUAGUGGAAUGCGAGAAUAGGGAUCUCCAGAUCCGGGAGAGGAAACAUCACUGUUUUUCGCUAUUUAAACAAAUCCUUUUGGAGCAUCCCGCCUUGGCCGAAAAUGCGGCCUACAAUCCUCAAGAAGCCUUUAUUGACUUCUUUAACGAGAGGCGGGACGAGCUCGACACCCACGGCGACUGGAGCCCAAAACAAACAGACC